rnacentral:rRNA from 1 species
AACGUAGGACGCAAGCGUUAUCCGGAAUUACUGGGCGUAAAGCGCGUGUAGGCGGAUCAUUAAGUCACUGGUGAAAGCACCGGGCUAAACUCGGUGAGGUUCGGUGAGACUGGUGGUCUGGAGUAUGUCAGAGGGGUGCGGAAUUCCGGGUGUAGUGGUGAAAUGCGUAGAGAUCCGGAGGAACACCAGAGGCGAAGGCGGCACCCUGGGACAAAACUGACGCUGAGACGCGAAAGCAUGGGUAGCGAACGGG